rnacentral:rRNA from 1 species
AUUGAACGCUGGCGGCAGGCUUAACACAUGCAAGUCGAGCGGUAGCACAGGGGAGCUUGCUCCCUGGGUGACGAGCGGCGGACGGGUGAGUAAUGUCUGGGAAACUGCCUGAUGGAGGGGGAUAACUACUGGAAACGGUAGCUAAUACCGCAUAACGUCGCAAGACCAAAGAGGGGGACCUUCGGGCCUCUUGCCAUCAGAUGUGCCCAGAUGGGAUUAGCUAGUAGGUGGGGUAAUGGCUCACCUAGGCGACGAUCCCUAGCUGGUCUGAGAGGAUGACCAGCCACACUGGAACUGAGACACGGUCCAGACUCCUACGGGAGGCAGCAGUGGGGAUUAUUGCACAAUGGGCGCAAGCCUGAUGCAGCCAUGCCGCGUGUGUGAAGAAGGCCUUCGGGUUGUAAAGCACUUUCAGCGAGGAGGAAGGUGGUGAGCUUAAUACGUUCAUCAAUUGACGUUACUCGCAGAAGAAGCACCGGCUAACUCCGUG